UUCGCAAUGCCCGAAAGGGUGACGAAGCGACGCCGCGUGGGUGAGGAAGGCCUUCGGGUUGUAAAGCCCUGUCAGGAGUUGAGAAAUGUAGACUCGCUAAUAUCGGGUCUAUUUGACAAAGGCUCCAAAGGAAGCCACGGCUAACUCUGUGCCAGCAGCCGCGGUAAUACAGAGGUGGCAAGCGUUGUUCGGAAUUAUUGGGCGUAAAGAGCACGUAGGUGGAUUUGUAAGUCAGACGUGAAAGCCUUCUGUUCAACGGAAGAAUUGCAUCUGAAACUACAAACCUUGAGUGUAGGAGGGGAGAAUGGAACUUCUGGUGGAGCGGUGAAAUGCGUAGAUAUCAGAAGGAACGCCGGCGGCGAAAGCGAUUCUCUGGCCUAUUACUGACACUCAGUGUGCGAAAGCUAGGGGAGCAAACGGGAUUAGAUACCCCGGUAGUCCUAGCCGUAAACGAUGGGCACUAAGUAGAGGGGUUUU
rnacentral:rRNA from 1 species